AUCGAACGCUGGCGGCAUGCCUUACACAUGCAAGUCGAACGGCAGCACGGGAGCAAUCCUGGUGGCGAGUGGCGAACGGGUGAGUAAUAUAUCGGAACGUGCCCAGUCGUGGGGGAUAACGCAGCGAAAGCUAUGCUAAUACCGCAUACGAUCUAUGGAUGAAAGCGGGGGAUCGCAAGACCUCGCGCGAUUGGAGCGGCCGAUAUCAGAUUAGCUAGUUGGUGGGGUAAAGGCCCACCAAGGCGACGAUCUGUAGCUGGUCUGGGAGGACGACCGGCCACACUGGAACUGAGACACGGUCCAGACUCCGACGGGAGGCAGCAGUGGGGAAUUUUGGACAAUGGGCGAAAGCCUGAUCCAGCAAUGCCGCGUGCAGGACGAAGGCCUUCGGGUUGUAAACUGCUUUUGUACGGAACGAAACGGCUCUCUCUAAUACAGGGGGCUAAUGACGGUACCGUAAGAAUAAGCACCGGCUAACUACGUGCCAGCCGCCGCCGUAA
rnacentral:rRNA from 1 species